UGGGGAAUUUUGGACAAUGGGCGCAAGCCUGAUCCAGCAAUGCCGCGUGCAGGAUGAAGGCCUUCGGGUUGUAAACUGCUUUUGUACGGAGCGAAAAGGUCUGCCCUAAUACGGUGGGCUCAUGACGGUACCGUAAGAAUAAGCACCGGCUAACUACGUGCCAGCAGCCGCGGUAAUACGUAGGGUGCAAGCGUUAAUCGGAAUUACUGGGCGUAAAGCGUGCGCAGGCGGUUAUGCAAGACAGAGGUGAAAUCCCCGGGCUUAACCUGGGAAUUGCAUUUGUGACUGCAUCGCUGGAGUGCGGCAGAGGGGGAUGGAAUUCCGCGUGUAGCAGUGAAAUGCGUAGAUAUGCGGAGGAACACCGAUGGCGAAGGCAAUCCCCUGGGCCUGCACUGACGCUCAUGCACGAAAGCGUGGGGAGCAAACA
rnacentral:rRNA from 1 species